GGUUUGAGGGGAACCGUGAGGUCUCCAAGUGAAUGGCCACUCUCCGCCGAGCACACACAGAGGGCCAGUGAGAGCUUGGACAGACACGGGGUCUGGAAGCCCCCGGGGUCACAGGCAGCUGCCCACGGUGAGACCACACUAUGACGCUGGAGGUCCCACUGUCCUCCCGCCCGCACCUCCCGCUGCGAGGAGGACACCUGUCUGUCACCGGAAGCGGGCCCGCCCUCCGGCCUGCAAGUGGUGUGGCACCAGCUGCUGUCCAUCCCCUGGAAAGCCCACUGUGCAGGAGCCCCAUCAGACGUCAAAUGCACGCCCUUCUCUCUUCCACCUCCUCGAGGUCCCUGGAGAGCAGAAGCUCCGAGCCCUGCUCGAGGCAGCCACUACUCCCCACUACAGCACUCUGCGGUCCCUACAUCAGCCACACUGGCGGAGCCCUCGGGAGCAGGAGCCGCUCGCAUCCCAUAGACACAAGGUGCCACCUGCUCAUGCUCCCCAAAACGGACCCCAGGCGGGCCCUGGAUCUGCCACAGCUGAGGAUGACCCUGUGUGAACCCCACCGUGGCCACAGCUUGUGUGUUAGAAUGACAUAAACUAAAGAAUUUCCUGUAACUGAUGAACAGAACAUCCAAAAGAGAGUUCCUUCUGGAAAGCACACUUGGGAGGCUUGGGGAUACUUGAGAAAGCUUGGCUGACAAGGAAGUGAUGACAACUCUGGGACACGGGGGACCCGGCGGGACAUGGCAGCCCUUCCUCUGCUUGGAACAGGAAGUCACCAAAGGCAUGUGCAGGCCAGUGCUUCUGGACCAGGUCACCACAGGACCCUGAGACGUCACAGGCAGCUCUGGCCGGCCAACCAGUGGCUACAGACGCAGGUUCACACUCUCUAGCAGGGUCUGGUAUGCCGUAAGUUGCUUUUAUAACUGUUUUAACCAGUUUCUGGAACACUGUGACCUCUCCAGGAGAGAGCUGCUCUGUCAUGGCCACUCCGUUUCUAAGAAAACCUAGUGAAGGACUUAGAGGACGUAUGUGCUACGAUUCCAAGCAUAUGAAAAAGAAUCACGUAUUAUAUCUGUACAUUUACACACACGAGGUACCCGGGAAAAAAAAUCGGAGAUCCACACGGACCUUGUGUCCGUGGUUACUUCUGGAGCAGAAGGCGGACGGGGCGGCUGGGGUUAGGGUUUGCACCACUGGGUGUGCAUGCGGCUGUAUCUGCGUGUGACGCACAGAGCUAUAGAAGCGUGACUCUGGAACAGUCUUGCCUACAGAUGGAGGUCCCGGUGCCCUCGGCGGUGCGAGACAAGCGUUGGCUCCCCACCCCCAACCCUCCCCGAGGACAAGCCCCGGGUGCGCUCACAUCUGCGCUGCAGCCGGCUCAGACACAACUCCCACCUCUGAGGAAACGAAGCUGCACCGCCCUCCUCCUGGGGAGGGAAAGAGCUCUGAGACCCCCACAGCAGAUUACACGGAGGCCCCCAGAGGGAGUCUAGAAGGCCGGGACAGCGGUGGGAUGUGGGCAGGACCAGGCUGCGGCAGCCAGUCUCACGAGACCCCAGCGCUAACGCCACCAGGUAGCCGCCGUGCCGCGCACCCAGCCGCCUGCGGGCCGAGCCCCUUCUGUGCCAGCGAUCAGCAUAGCACCAUGAGCGGCGCGGAGCUAGGGUCGCCUGUCGAAGAGACCAGGACACCAGGAAGCCCACUCCCGGCACUGGGCCAGGCAGCGUGGUUCAGAGGACGGAGUCUGUGUGGAAGGCACGCCUCGCCCCGCCGAAGAGGGAAACCCUGAGGAGAGGCCCCCCUGAGCCAGGGAAACGGAGGCGGCUAAGUGCUGCUGUGGGCGUGCGGAAGGCGGACUCAGUCCCAGCCGGUCCCGGCAGCAGCUUCAGGGCCCGGGGGCCUCUCGGCCCGUCACUUCUUGUUCCAUCUGCACCAGAGCAACAAAACGGGGUCCUGUGAAUGUCCUGAGGCUUGCGGCUGCCAAGGCAAAGCCCCGCUCGGCUCGCAGACAGGCCUCACGGGCCUGGCCACAGUCCCGGAUGCGGUCCGGGCCCCCCAGCCGCAAGCCCGUCCUGGAGCUGAGCCACGGCAGGGCGACCACCAGGCCGGGCGCCCCGGCUUUAAGACACACCAUCUGCAGAAGGCUCGCACUUCGACACUGACGGAAGGUCGCCCAGAGGACCCCAGGCAACCCGUCCCCCCACCCCCACGUUGUUGCUCUGACGAAACGGGCAACAGGCUAGCUCCUCUACGGGCACGGGAGUCUACGUUCCCUUCUGCAAAGUCACGUGACGAGCCCAGUAAACACGUGCUAACUCUUCCCCGCUAGCCUGGGACUGUCGCCACGAGGGGCGACCUGAGGGCUCUCCUCAAUCCAUCUGCUCCCGAGUCCUACAGCUCUCCAACGAGAGGACGCUCACAGACCACUGAGGAAGUGUGCAGGAGCACACGGGAAGUUAGCUGCGUCGGCACUCCACGGCCUCAAGUAAAGGAGCUGUUCCCGACGGGCACCGCACUGACGUCCCCCGCAUCUGCUUCGCCUUUAUGGGACACUGGCUUUGUUCUCGGAAACAGGCGUCUGCUGGUGGAAGGCGACACACCCAGCCGUGGAACGGGAGCGAAACCUGCAGAGAGACCCACGCAGCGCGGCCCGCGGGCCUCACACAAGGAUAUGGGAGCACCAGGGGAGGAAGGACAGCGCUUUCCAGAUGCCCACGGACCACGAACAUGAACCACGGCACGAACUGCAUGUCACAGACCACGAAUAGAAACAUCAGACCCUAAAACUUUUACAAAGAGGCAGAGAGCAGCACCGUGACUCUGAGCAAGACAAAGAGUUCCCGGAGGUGACACUGAAGUCACAGCCCAUAAAGGAAGACAGCAGACGGGGCCUCAGCAGGACUGAGCACCGCCCCCCAUAGGCACCAGGAAGGCAGGACAAGCCGGAGACCAGGAGAAAACACUGCCGACACCCACCCGACCAAACACUUGUGUCUGCAGCACUUUGAGAACUUUCUCAUCUCAGUGAUAAGGAAACAGGUGCAAGAUCUGAGCAGGCUGGUCACUGGAGAGAGAAAGGCGACACGGACAUGCACAAGAAAGAUGCUCAGGGUGGCUAGUCCCCAGGGAUGUGCAGACCGACCCCGCCAGGAGACACCACUUCCCACCCGUGAGGCUCAGUGUGGAGAGCGUGGGCAGCGACGGGCCUGCCUGGAAGACCACAGGCAGCUCCCUAGGAAACCAGCACCCACACCCCUACACGUCUGCCCGGGUGCCACAGAACGAACACGCUGAGACCAAGGUUUAGAGCAGCUCCUUCUACAGAGCAGCCCGUGCCCCUCUCUGGGGGACAGAGAAGCACACGGGACGGCCGCCACGGGGACGCUACGCCGCAGGGAGAGGCACCAACUCCAGACCCACAGGGACAGAGCUCACAUGCACACCGCUACAGGGAAACCGCCAACCUCAGACGGCCGGGCGCGGUGUGACCCCGUGUGGAUGGCGUCCUGGGAGAGGAGGACCCUAGGGGGCUGCCGCGGCUGGGCGGGCAUGGGGACCGCAGAGGGGCAACACAGGGAGGCUGGGGGUGAUAGAGCCGGCUGUGUCCGCGCCAUGCACUUCCUCACACUCGGAAUAGGACGUGAAAGGCUGUGUGAAAAGGCCGUCUUCUGGGUGAUGCCCUCUCGGUGACAUUCGGGAAAAGGCACCCUUGCAGACAGGGCUGGGGGAGGGAGCGAGUCAGGAUAGCACGGGGGGCUUGCAGGGCAGGGACGCUAUCCCACAGGAGCCUAUGGUGGACACAAGACAUGGCCCUACUGUCGCUCUUGUUCUGCUCUGCCGCGCACACGUAAGAAGGCACCUGCUCAAGACACACUUCCAGACAGCGGCCCGUACCGCAGACCACAGACAAGUCCACAGUCUAGCAGGGGAGAAAGGGAAUGGAAGGCACAACAGGACAAGUGACAGCACGUGCACACACAGGACCGCCCUCUCCGACCACCCAGAGCCGGUGCACGUGAGCACGGCCUGCAGGCAGCUCCUCCACCAGUACAUCCAGGUCAAGGGGAGACAGUGUCUGUUUUCCUGCUGUUUCAACCUUUCUGAUGCUUGAACUUUUUCACGAUCAACUUUCUGAAAGACUGAAAGAGUGACCACCUUGCUUCUCCGGCACAUCAGCCAAGCAGACACGGAGCCAGCAGCACACGGCACCACCGUGCUUCCCCACCUGGGACCUGUGAGGGGCUCCCUGGAGCCCCGUCUGACCUGGCCCCGGUGCUCAGCACUCAGCUGUUCCGGAGCUAUGGGCUGGUCCGGGGCCCGACAGGUAAGCUCCCACGGUACCCAAGGGAGUGCCGAGCUGGCCAGUCACACGUGAGAGACACACGACACACAGACCGUGUGGAGGUUCAGGGCUGGGGCGGCGUCCGAGCUCACAGCCGGGGGAAGAGGGAGAGCCCGUCACCCGGGUAAGAGAUGGAGUGUCCCGGGGUGGGGGCAGCAGAGGGCAACGGCAGUCAGAAACCCUCGUGCAGCCUGCCACCCACGGGGCCUGGGGGAAGGAGCUGGGAAGCAGGACCCGAGGGCACCCAGCCUCUGUCCGGGACACUCCUCGAGCCCAGGGCCUCACGAGCUCUGUGCUGGCGCUGGCUCCCACCUGUCCCCGCCUCGACGUCCCAGGGCCAGCACUGGGGGGGGGUCGUUGUCACCCCACAACCCUCCGAGGGCUCCUACACAGUUUGACCACCAGGCAGCGACAGCAGCCACUCAGCCUGAGGUCCCAAGGCUCACGCCACAGACCUUAGACCUCUGCAGCCAGAAAUACAGACAGAUGCACUUCCGUGAAUAAGGCUCCACAGGGCAAAAACAGUCACACCAGCGUAGAGCUAAGAAGAAUACCCUUUCCCAGCGCGGACCUUCCCUCCUCUAACGGGACAGAAGCUCCCUUCCGAGCUGCUCAAACAGAAGGCUGGUGUGAAGAACGGAGGUGCCCUGCACGCCCGCCACCCCCAGAGGGCCCUGGCGUGAGGCGAGAGCUACUCACUGAGCUGUCCCGCUGCGGCCAAGCACUCACCCCGUCUCGCUUCCAAAGAAAAGAACGCACACCACAUCCCGCCAGGCCCCGCGCUUCCCUCUGCGCCGCCCUCUGCCAGCAAGAUUGGCACCGCGGUACGCACCCUUACGAGGGUGGCUCGCCGUUGGCCUAACGGCUUCCCCGCCGUGGGACUGUGGGGUCAGAGGGCACGCACACUUACAGGGUGGGUCACACACGCACACUGCACGCCUGCUGUUUGCAAACACUUCCACGGACAGUGCCCUGAGACUCUCCACCCACAACUGUGACAAACAACACCGCUUCCAUUUGCUCUCCUCUCUGGCCUGAGCCAUGCAGGGAGGCACGCGUGGUAACACUCCUCCCCCUCCUUGACCCGGGGGGUCUGGGGAGCGGGCACAUCGGCCUGCAAGCUCUCCCAAUGGCUGUCACGUGCCAGGGCAGCCAGGGAAAGAGAUGCAACGUGACUGGGGCUGCAACCCCACUUCCGUGCCUUCGUGUCGGGAGAACAUGCGCCACCCCACGCUCUCAGCCACUGUUGCCCCGACUUCACUGCUGGGGGGCUCGGGUCACAUCCGGCUGGCCGCCUCCUGCCUCCCUAUGUGGCCCCCUUCAGGAGUCCCUGCGCGCAGCCCACAGCGAGGCAAGGAGAAUUAUGCUGCCCUCCCUGCAGGCCGGGUAUCUCCACCGGCUGUGGGGAACACGGCCCGGGAACGUUCCCUCUGGUCCCCCCCGGAGCAGCCCGGUUGCUGAUCCACCUGCCCCGGACGCACGCUGUUCACCGGCCACGGGCCAUCCCAACAGCGCGCCACUGGAUAUCCAAGGCAAACAUGAGGUGCACACGCGCCUCCUGGAUCCUUCCUGGGUCGGAACCAUCCCACAGUCACAUCGCCUUCAGGCUUUAAUAUGAUGGCCCCUUGCCCAGACCGUGGGGACCUGGCUGCUCGUCCCUCUGGCCCCCAGCUCAGGGCCUCUCCAAUCUCCAGGAGGCCCUAAAACUGACCACCAGGCCGCUUUCAUGCUUCUCAACACGCCUUCCCCAAAGUCGAUGGACUGUGAGACAGACCCCUGUCUGUCCAGAAACCCAGGAGGCCACCUCCUCUCUGCGCCGCUCCUGCAAUGAGACUAACUCAAAGCCAAGCAAACGCACAGUUCUCCAUUAAACCAGUGCCCGACGCCCUUGAGCACAAAGAACCAGGAAUCUCGGCUCCGGCCCGAGUGUGGGGCAAGUGAAACAGAAGGGGAAGGAGACGCCCCCCAGAUCGCAUCCAGAGAGCGCGCUCCUGCUCACGGGACAGCUCUCCUGCUGGCGGGGGAGAUGUGAAGCCCAGAAACCACUUCUGCUAAGGAUCCUCUGCCUUCCUGCGACGCUGCCCCAGAGGCACGCACGGCACCCAGAGAGCCCACAAACAGCUUUGACCCCAGCGCGGCAGGGCCUGUGCGAGGGCGGGAAGGAGGAAGACGCUGAGACUGCAGCUCGCCGUAGCAGAUCAGACCGUACAGCUCCUGGGAUGACUUCUUCAG